UACGUAGGGGGCAAGCGUUGUCCGGAUUUAUUGGGCGUAAAGCGCUCGCAGGUGGUCCGCUGCGUCGUGCGUGAAAGACCCCGGCUCAACUGGGGGAUGUCGUGCGAUACGGGCGGACUGGAGGCCAGUAGGGGGAUGCGGAAUUCCGGGUGUAGUGGUGGAAUGCGUAGAGAUCCGGAGGAACACCAGCGGCGAAGGCGGCAUCCUGGACUGGUCCUGACACUCAGGAGCGAAAGCGUGGGGAGCGAUCCGG
rnacentral:rRNA from 1 species